ensembl:lncRNA
UUUUUUUUUUUUUUUAAGCUUCCAAUGUGAUUUUAAUGAUUAGUCAGUGUUGAGAAUUCCUGAUAAGGUCUUUUUCCUUCCUCAUUAAUCCUAUAAGACAUUUUAUUCACUGUAGUGGGAUAAUUUUAAAGAACAUUAUUCAAGGUUAUCUCUCCAACAUAGCUAUUUCUUCUCUUUCUACUUACUUUUAAAAUUUCCUAUAAAAAAUUAAAACAAGUGGGUGAGUUGGAAGACCCAUACCUAAGACAAUGAUCUGCAGAACGUGGCCCCUGGAUUAGCAGCAUCAGGAUCACCUGGAAAUUGAUUGGAAAUGAAACCUACGCUAGACCAGGAGGACUGAGGCUCAUAAGUUGGUGACUGUUAAGGAUUUUUAUACUUUUAUAUAAAAGAGAUGGAAAGAAUGGGAGAUUAUAUCGAUGUUUUUAUUGCUUAUCUUCCUAUGAUGUGAAUGCACAAAUUUAUAAAUCCUUCCAGAAGUCUGGGGCUUCCCUGCUGGCUCAGUGAAGAAGAAUCCACCCACCAAAGCCAGAGACACGGGCUUGAUCCCUGGCCUGGCAAGAUCCCACAUGCCGUGCAGCAACUAAGUCCAUGGCCCACAAGUACUUAGCCUGUGCUCUAGAGCCCAGGAGCCAAAACUACUGAGCCCAUGUGCCACCACUACUGAAGCCUGUGGGCUUUGAACCUGUGCUCCGCAAUAGAAGCCAGCACAAUGAGAAACCUGCACACCACAAACAAAGAGUAGCCCCCACUCGUCACCACUAGAGAAAAGCCCAAGAAGCAAUAAAGCAGAGCCAAAAAUAAAUAAAUAAUUUUUAAAAGAUUUAAAAAUUCUACUAAGUUCAGUUGGAUAUUUUUCUACUAAUUUAAUACCUCUAAGACACAUGGAUCAAGAUAUCCUCCACAUUUUUUGAAAGAACCCGUAAGGAGAGAUAAAAAACCUUCCUCAGUGAUCAAUGCAAAGAAAUAGAGGAAAACAAUAGAAUGGGAAAGACUAGAGAUCUCUUCAAGAAAAUUAGAGAUACCAAAGGAAUAUCUCAUGUAAAGAUGGGCACAAUAAAGCAUAGAAAUGGUAUGGACCUAACAGAAGCAGAAGAUAUUAAGAAGAGGUGGCAAGAAUACACAGAAGAACGGUACAAAAAGAUCUUCAUGACCCGGAUAACCACAAUAGUGUGAUCACUUACCUAGAACCAGACAUCGUGGAAUUUGAAGUCAAGUGGGCCUUAGGAAGCAUCACUAUGAACAAAGCUAGUGGAGAUGAUGGAAUUCCAGUUGAGCUAUUUCAAAUCCUAAAAGAUGAUGCUGUGAAAGUGCUGCACUCAAUAUACCAGCAAAUUUGGAAAAUUCAGCAGUGGCCACAGGACUGGAAAAGGUCAGUUUUCAUUCCAAUCCCAAAGAAAGGCAAUGCCAAAGAAUGUUCAAACUACUGCACAAUUGCACUCAUCUCACACACUAGUAAAGUAAUGCUCAAAAUUCUCUAAGCCAGGCUUCAACAGUAUAUGAACCGAAAACUUCCAGAUGUUCAGGCUGGAUUUAGAAAAGGCAGAGGAGCCAGAGACCAAAUUGCCAACAUCUGCUGGAUCAUUGAACAAGCAAAAGAGUUCCAGAAAAACAUCUACUUCUGCUUUAUUGACUAUGCCAAAGCCUUUGACUGUAUGGAUCACAACAAACUGUGGAAAAUUCUUAAAGAGAUGGGAAUUCCAGACCACCUCAUCUGCCUCCUGAGAAAUCUGUAUGCUGGUCAGGAAGGAACAGUUGGAACUGAACAUGGAAUAACAGACUGGUUCCAAAUUGGGAAAGGAGUAGGUUAAGACUGUAUAUUGUCACCCUGCUUAUUUAACUUCUAUGCAGAGUACAUCAUGUGAAAUGCUGGGCUGGAUGCAGAACAAGCUGGACUCAAGAUUGCUGGGAGAAAUAUCAAUAGCCUCAGAUAUGCAGAUGACACAACCCUUAUGGCAGAAAGCAAAAAAGAACUAAAGAGGCUCUUGUUGUAAGUGAAAGAGGAGAGUGAAAAAGUUGGCUUAAAACUCAACAUUAAGAAAACUAAGAUCAUAGUAUCUGGUCCUAUCACUUCAUGGCAAAUAUAUGGGGAAACAAUGGAAACAGUGACAGACUUUAUUUUCUUGGGCUCCCAAAUCACUGCAGAUGGUGACUGCAGUCGUGAAAUUAAAAGAUGCUUGCUCCUUGGAAGAAAAGCUAUGACCAACCUAGAGAGCAUAUUAAAAAGCAGAGACAUUACUUUGCCAACAAAGAUCCAUCUAGUCAAACCUAUGGUUUUUCCAGUAGUCAUGUCUGGAUGUAACAUUUAGACUAUAAAGAAAGCUGAGCACAGAAGAAUUGCUGCUUUUGAACUGUGGUGUUGGAGAAGACUCUUGAGAGUCCCUUGGACUGCAAGGAGAUCCAACCAGUCCAUUCUAAAGGAGAUCAGUCCUGGGUGUUCUUUGGAAGGACUGAUGCUGAAGCUGAAACUCCAAUAUGUUGGCCACCUGAUGCAAAGAACUGACUCACUGGAAAAGACCCUGAUGCCUGGAAAGAUUGAAGGCAGGAGUAGAAAGGGAUGACAGAGGAUGAGAUGGUUGGAUGGUAUCACCGACUCAAUGAACAUGAGUUUGAGCAAGCUCCGGGAAUUGGUGAUGGACAGAGAAGCCUGGUGUGCUGCAGCUCAUGGGGUUGCAAAGAGUCGGACAUGACUGAGAAAGUGAACUGAACUGUACUGAUUGAAGACAGAAAAUGCAGCUAGUUAAUAGACUCAAACCACUAAACAAAUACAACUUGUUUUCACUGAGGUUUGUUGAAUUUUGGAGUGAAUUUCCCUAAAUACCCUAAAUGUUUCUAGUUUCUAAAAUGUGUAC